rnacentral:lncRNA from 1 species
AUAUCCAUUUGACUAAUGAUGCCUGUUGUCCCAGAGUUCCAUUCAGUGUGAAGAUACAAGGAAAAGAUGGCUAUCUGUAAACUUUUAUCAGAUACCACCAGAUCUGCCAGCCCUUUGAUCUUGGACUUCCCAGCUUUCAGAACUGUGAGAAAUGUCUGUUAUUUAAGCUACCUAGUCUACAGUAUUUUGUUGUGACAAUUUGUCUAAGACAGUAUUUGUCUUUUAAAAUAUGAACAGAUUAUACUAUCUACAGCAUGGUAUACAUUAGGAAUACUUAUAGUGAAGCUUAGCUCUGGGAAAGACGAAGGUAAGUUUAUCAUUAAGUAUGUUCAGCAAGUAAAAUGAUAAUCUGUAACAUUUCUUUCAUCUAGUAAAACUACAUUGAAUGUAUAUUUACUUCCGUGAAAUUUAUUGAAAUAAUAUUUACUGACAUGUCUUCAUGCUAUUACAUUCCUUGAGAGUUUAAAAAAUUGUGGAUUAUUUGUACAUUGUUUUCUGUGAUACAUUCAUUUAGGCCAAUAUCAUGUUGCCAUAGUUAAAAGUAUGUAUGUAUGUAGGCAUGUUGGGGUUAUAAUUUCUAUUAAUAUUUUCUCAAAAAUUUUAACCAAACAUACAUCAAGAGUAGAGUUAAAUGGGCUCUGUGGGUUUACGUUAACAUUUGAUCUAUAAACAUUGUAAAGCUAGUAGUAUUGAGUUUUGAUUUCCACAAUUUAGCACACUAACCAUGUUAAAUGAGCCGUAACAAGAAACAACACAUUUAUGAAUUUUUAUAUAGAAUUUAUUUAAACAUAACUACUAAUGCAAAAUGGCACAAAAAUAUUUCAAUAGUAAUUGUUCGUUUCACUUGGUAUGGUGGCUAUUAAUAUAAAUUAGAACAUAAAACAAUUACUGAGGCAGUCGCACUAAUUUCUGCGCAUUAACGCGACCAAUCAAUCAAAUGCUUGAGGUGAAACAAACCUGGGUUCAAGCCCAUUAGUUUGUUAUAUUUUUGAUACUAAAUUAGCCAGCUAUUAACUGAAGCACAAACUAGAUAACAAUCAUCAGUUUAGCCAUAGAUUUUGUGUGUUUAUGUGCAUGGAUGUUGAAAAAUCUUACAUAUAGUCUUCCAAGCUAACAUAGAUGUUCAGUAAAUUAAAUGGAAUUUUAGGGUCUAAAUAGUAUUUAAACUUGUAUAGGGUAAAAUAAAAAUAUAACUAAAAAUUAUUGACAAUAUUUUCACUCUCAAAAGUUUGUUUACAUUUGUAAUCCAUCAGUCCUACCCCCACCAACUAAUUAACAGACAAUUGCUAGUAUGUUAAUACACACUGCUAAGACCAGCUUGGUUGUGGAGAUCCUAAUCCAGCAAGGCUAGAGGAAUUAAAGACACACACACAGAAAUAUAAAGUGUGGAGUAGGAAAUCAGGGGGCUGACAGCCUUCAGAGCUGAGAGCCUCGAACAGAGUUUUACCCACAUAUUUACUGACAGCAAGCCAGUGAUAAGCAUUGUUUCUAUAGAUUAUAGAUUAACUAAAAGUAUUCCUUAUGGGAAACAAAGGGAUGGGCCAAAACAAAGGGAUAGGCUUUGACUAGUUAUCUGCAGCAGGAACAUGUCUUUAAGGCACAGAUUGCUCAUACUAUUGUUUGUGGUUUAGGAACGCCUUAAGCCAUUUUCUGUCCUGGGUGGGCCAGGUGUUCAUUGCCCUCAUUCUGGUAAACCCACAACCUUCAGCGUGGGCAUCAUGGCCAUCACGUACAUGUCACAGUGCUGGCAGAGAUUUUGUUUAUGGCCAGUUUAUGGCCAGAUUUGGGGGCCUGUUCCCAACAACAUACUAAUUUGAAUUUUCUAGAAUUAUGUAUAUAAUGAAAUUUAUAUAUAUAGUAUUUAUAAACAUUAAACUUUUAAAUAUUAAACUUUUAACCUUCUUUUUUUUGUUAUGUAUAAUUAUUUUGAGAUUUAUC